AUUGAACGCUGGCGGAAUGCUUUACACAUGCAAGUCGAACGGCAGCACGGACUUCGGUCUGGUGGCGAGUGGCGAACGGGUGAGUAAUGUAUCGGAACGUGCCCAGUCGUGGGGGAUAACGUAGUGAAAAUUACGCUAAUACCGCAUACGAUCUAUGGAUGAAAGCGGGGGAUCGCAAGACCUCGCGCGAUUGGAGCGGCCGACAUCAGAUUAGGUAGUUGGUGGGGUAAAGGCACACCAAGCCAACGAUCUGUAGCUGGUCUGAGAGGACGACCAGCCACACUGGAACUGAGACACGGUCCAGACUCCUACGGGAGGCAGCAGUGGGGAAUUUUGGACAAUGGGCGAAAGCCUGAUCCAGCCAUUCCGCGUGCAGGAUGAAGGCCCUCGGGUUGUAGACUGCUUUUGUACAGAACGAAAAGGUUUCUACUAAUACUAGGAGCUCAUGACGGUACUGUAAGAAUAAGCACCGGCUAACUACGUGCCAGCCGCCGCCGUAA
rnacentral:rRNA from 1 species